CAAAGCAGAAGGAGCCCUUCGAGAUUCCACCCCAUCACUGUGCAGACUGGGAAACCUACACCCAGGCAAGGAUGGGAGUCACUCAAGGUUGCAAAGCCAACGGUCAGAACUAGAAGAAAAUUUCCUGAUUCUUCAAUCUCGGUUCUUUCCAUUACCUCACACUAUCUACUUUCAGCAAGCCUCAAAUAACUGCAAAACAUCCAUCCGAAUAACCAGCAUUCUUCGAAUCUGACAAGCUACAUUACAAAUAAAGCAAAGGUCUUGACAGUCUUUAAUGCCAGAGCUCUUCACAACCAGAGCUGGGAGCCACCUACCCCUCCCAGGAGCAUACUCCGCCUCUUAUUUCACGUUUUGGGAUGGUUUACACAAAAUUGCGUGACGGUUAGAAACAGAACCUACUGAAUGAUGAGUCUGCAGAAAAAUCCUGAAUACUGAAAACAGGGAACCACACCCAGAGCCGGAUCCCAGCGAGAGAGAACGAAGAGCUACAAAAGGGGAGUGGAAUGAAAGAGAAGGGGACACAAAAGGAUUUUUAGACGUUUUACACAAACGGGAGCUUGCGACCGGACACAGAACUGUGAGAAUCGGAGCUGCAGCUGCUGGCCUACACCACA